AUUUAACACACUAUGGCUUUCUAUGGGCACCCAAUGAUAGGCAGAGAGGAAGGAAACCAAGAGGCAGAGGUUCUGGGAGAGGAAGCCCCAACUUUGGGGUUAAACCAUUACCAAUGCCAAAUGCUCUAACCCCUGAAGGUAAGAUGGUGUCUGGACACUCUUGCCCCCAUAACAACUUAAAUGAGCCUAAGUUAUUAUGGGGAUAGGAAUAUUCCUUUAAAUAAUUUUAGAAUGUUUAGAAUGGCUUAGUUUCCAAUUAAGCAAUGAAAAAAUUGGCUUAUUGGCCCCAUUCCAGUGAACCUAUCCUUUAAG